rnacentral:rRNA from 1 species
GCACGGAGUUAGCCGGUGCUUAUUCUUACGGUACCGUCAUGGACCCCCUUUAUUAGAAGGAGUCUUUUCGUUCCGUACAAAAGCAGUUUACAACCCGAAGGCCUUCAUCCUGCACGCGGCAUGGCUGGAUCAGGCUUGCGCCCAUUGUCCAAAAUUCCCCA